rnacentral:rRNA from 1 species
AGUGAACGCUGGCGGUAGGCCUAACACAUGCAAGUCGAACGGCAGCACAGUAAGAGCUUGCUCUUACGGGUGGCGAGUGGCGGACGGGUGAGGAAUACAUCGGAAUCUACUUUUUCGUGGGGGAUAACGUAGGGAAACUUACGCUAAUACCGCAUACGACCUACGGGUGAAAGCAGGGGAUCUUCGGACCUUGCGCGAUUGAAUGAGCCGAUGUCGGAUUAGCUAGUUGGCGGGGUAAAGGCCCACCAAGGCGACGAUCCGUAGCUGGUCUGAGAGGAUGAACAGCCACACUGGAACUUGAACACCGUCCAGACUCCUACGGGGAGCAGCAGUGGGGAAUAUUUGACAAUGGGCGGAAGCCUGAUCCAGCCAUACCGCGUGGGUGAAGAAGGCCUUCGGGUUGUAAAGCCCUUUUGUUGGGAAAGAAAAGCAGCAGGUUAAUACCCCGCUGUUCUGACGGUACCCAAAGAAUAAGCACCGGCUAACUUCGUG